UUUAAUGAAACUGAGUAUUAUAAAAAAACAAAAAAACAAAUAAAGAGUUUUAUGAAAAUUGUCAAAACUUAUUAUUGUUACUUUGUGUUGUUAGAUCAUAGAUGUGUAUGCUCACAAUUGUUAAACUUUGUUUUUGGACACAAUAGUUUAUUAUGCGUAUCCUCUUUAAUAAGUGAGUAACUUAAUCAAGAUUUAUUGAUCACUGUAUAUAUUCUGUAGGUAUAUUUUGCCAUUUAUACAUAAAGCAACUGUAGAACAAUUGUAUUUUAAAUGUAAAUUAUUCUUGUAUUGUUGCCAUUUGUAUAAUAUAAACUAACUGUUUACCUUAGUUUGUAAAAACCUUUGUAAAAAAACAUUUCCUGUGUGAAUGCUCAUAUAUAUAUUAAACUGUUAAAAUAAUGCACAGUACCAGAAAAAAAUAGUCAAUUACACAGUAAGGGAAAGUGUUGUCAUAUGCUAACAAUUGUAUAAAAUUGCAAUUGUCUCUAUUUGUAAUAAUAGAGAGCAAUAUUAUUUGCUUAAAAAAUAAAGAUGUCUGCUUUGUAAAUUAAUAAUUGUGUUUACAUCUCAACAUAACACGUAAAUACAUUAAAGUCUAAAAGGAUUUUUUGGAAUAAACACUUAAAUAAAUAUAUGUGCGUGUAUACGCUGAUAAAAAAAAUUUACAUUUCAUUUAGUUUUGUAACAGCGCAUUUGACCUUUCACGUUGACCAUCCCACACUUGCUGUCAGUGCAGUGCCUUCAUUAGGGUCAUUUUUAUGCUCCUGGUAGGGUGGCAUAUAGCAGUUGAACUGUCCGUCAGUAUGUCAGUCUGUCCUUUUGUCCGAAAAAAACUUAAACAUUGGCCAUAACUUUUUGAAUAUUGAAGAUAGCAACUUGAUAUUUGGCAUGCAUGUGCAUCUCAUGAAGCUGCACAUAUUGAGUGGUGAAAGGUGAUGGUCAAGGUCAUCCUUCAAAGUCAAAUGUCAAAUUUAUUGCGUCUGUCCGUCCGUCCAAAACUUUAACAUUGGCCAUAACUUGUUCAAUAUUGAAGAUAGCAACUUGAUAUUUGGCAGCCAUGUGUAUCUCAUGGAGCUACACCUUUUGAGUGGUAAAAGGUCAAGGUCAUCCUUCAAGGUCAAAGGUCAAAAAAAUAAUCCAAAGCGGCGUUCUCAUGAAGCUGCACAUUGUGAGUGGUGUGAGUUCAAGGUCAAGGCCAACCGUCAAGGUCAUCCUUCAAGGUCAAAAGUAAAAAAAAAUUCAAAGCGGCGUCCUCAUGAAGCUGCACAUUUUGAGUGGUGGACGUUCAAGGUCAAGGUCAUCCUUCAAUGUCAAAGGUAAAAAAAAAAUCAAAGCGGCGCAAUAGGGGGCAUACUGUGUUUCUGACGAACACAUCUCUUGUUUGUAAAUAUCCCACUGUUUAAGUUCAGCAAAUGUUUUAAGACCAGAUUUCCUUAAACUUGGGGGUGUUAUUAUUUUACUUUUAUUGAAUGCAUGAAACAUGUGUGUUCCGUUGUUGAAUAGCUAAACAUAGCUUGAUGUGUGUAGAUUGUGUGACAAAUGUUGAUCAAAUUGUUACAUAGAAAAAAACACAAUCUUAGUUAACUUGUAUGUGUUAAUUACCAAACACAAAUAUAAGUAUUUUGUAACAAUAUAAGUAUUGUCUUUAUUUGAAAUACAGAAUGAAAUGCAAUUUUAAAAUCAUGUCUUUAUAUGUUCAUCUUCUCCAAAUAAGCAUUUUGAAAAAGCAAAUAUAAUAUCUCUAUGGAAAGUAUCUGUAGGCCCCAUGCAAUCGAUUGUGUACCUCAUAUUGACCAGGGUCUUUCUAAAUUAUUUCAGGAUUGUAUAUCCCUGUCUGAAUUGUGUAAAUAGCUUCAACAUCGUGAGAUAACUGUUAAGAGGAUUUCAAUAUUAAAAGUUAAAAUAGUAUCUUAACUGUAACCGUACAUAUGUAACCGUACAUCUGUUGCAUUUAUUUUAACAUGUUUAUAUGUUGUGGCUCACUGAGUUUUAUAUUGUUUAUAAUCUUGCAUAUUCAAUUGUGUUUUAUAAGACAAACAUCAUUAUACUGAUUAUGUUGUUUUUGUCCAACAUUUCUAUAUAUACAAGUUGUAUGUAAAUAAUUAAAUAUGUUUAUGUUGAUGAUAUGUAUUUCCCGAUCUAAGUUUGAUGUUGAACUCUCAAUAAACGACCUGUUUUGCCAAUUAAA